UAGGGAAUCUUCCACAAUGGACGCAAGUCUGAUGGAGCAACGCCGCGUGAGUGAAGAAGGUUUUCGGAUCGUAAAGCUCUGUUGUUGGUGAAGAAGGAUAGAGGCAGUAACUGGUCUUUAUUUGACGGUAAUCAACCAGAAAGUCACGGCUAACUACGUGCCAGCAGCCGCGGUAAUACGUAGGUGGCAAGCGUUGUCCGGAUUUAUUGGGCGUAAAGAGAGCGCAGGCGGAAUGAUAAGUCUGAUGUGAAAGCCCACGGCUCAACCGUGGAACUGCAUCGGAAAAUGUCAUUGUUGAGUGCAGAAGAGGAGAGUGGAAUUCCAUGUGUAGCGGUGGAAUGCGUAGAUAUAUGGAAGAACACCAGUGGCGAAGGCGGCUCUCUGGUCUGCAACUGACGCUGAGGCUCGAAAGCAUGGGUAGCGAACAGG
rnacentral:rRNA from 1 species